rnacentral:rRNA from 1 species
CCCAGACAGCCAGGAUGUUGGCUUAGAAGCAGCCAUCAUUUAAAGAAAGCGUAAUAGCUCACUGGUCGAGUCGGCCUGCGCGGAAGAUGUAACGGGGCUAAACCAUGCACCGAAGCUGCGGCAGCGAACGUAUCACUUAAAGCGAUUCAGCGGGUUACGAUUGACGGAGCGAAGCGACGUCAAAGCGUAUACAAAGUCGAGUCGGUUUAAGGAUACGUUCGUUGGGUAGGGGAGCGUUCUGUAAGCCUGUGAAGGUGGCCUGUGAGGGUUGCUGGAGGUAUCAGAAGUGCGAAUGCUGACAUAAGUAACGAUAAAGCGGGUGAAAAGCCCGCUCGCCGGAAGACCAAGGGUUCCUGUCCAACGUUAAUCGGGGCAGGGUGAGUCGACCCCUAAGGCGAGGCCGAAAGGCGUAGUCGAUGGGAAACAGGUUAAUAUUCCUGUACUUGGUGUUACUGCGAAGGGGGGACGGAGAAGGCUAUGUUGGCCGGGCGACGGUUGUCCCGGUUUAAGCGUGUAGGUGUGUGUUCCAGGUAAAUCCGGUUCACUUUAACACUGAGGCGUGACGACGAGGCACUACGGUGCUGAAGCAACAAAUGCCCUGCUUCCAGGAAAAGCCUCUAAGCAUCAGGUAACACGAAAUCGUACCCCAAACCGACACAGGUGGUCAGGUAGAGAAUACCAAGGCGCUUGA